rnacentral:rRNA from 1 species
GAUGAACGCUGGCGGCGUGCCUAAUACAUGCAAGUCGAGCGAACGGACGAGAAGCUUGCUUCUCUGAUGUUAGCGGCGGACGGGUGAGUAACACGUGGAUAACCUACCUAAAGACUGGGAUAACUUCGGGAAACCGGAGCUAAUACCGGAUAAUAUUUUGAACCGCAUGGUUCAAAAGUGAAAGACGGUCUUGCUGUCACUUAUAGAUGGAUCCGCGCUGCAUUAGCUAGUUGGUAAGGUAACGGCUUACCAAGGCAACGAUGCAUAGCCGACCUGAGAGGGUGAUCGGCCACACUGGAACUGAGACACGGUCCAGACUCCUACGGGAGGCAGCAGUAGGGAAUCUUCCGCAAUGGGCGAAAGCCUGACGGAGCAACGCCGCGUGAGUGAUGAAGGUCUUCGGAUCGUAAAACUCUGUUAUUAGGGAAGAACAUAUGUGUAAGUAACUGUGCACAUCUUGACGGUACCUAAUCAGAAAGCCACGGCUAACUACGUG